GUCUUUAAUUGCCAUCAUUUAGUUGGGCACUUUAAGAGACUGCCGGUGUUAAGCCGGAGGAAGUGGGGAUGACGUCAAGUCCUCAUGGCCUUUAUGCCCAGGGCUACACACGUGCUACAAUGGGCGGUACAAAGAGAAGCAACCUCGCGAGGGUGAGCAAAUCUCAAAAAGCCGUUCUCAGUUCGGAUUGAAGUCUGCAACUCGACUUCAUGAAGUCGGAAUCGCUAGUAAUCGCGGAUCAGCAUGCCGCGGUGAAUACGUUCCCGGGCCUU
rnacentral:rRNA from 1 species